rnacentral:rRNA from 1 species
UACGUAGGGUGCAAGCGUUGUCCGGAAUUAUUGGGCGUAAAGAGCUCGUAGGCGGUCUGUCGCGUCGGAUGUGAAAAUCCAGGGCUCAACCCUGGACCUGCAUUCGAUACGGGCAGACUAGAGUUCGGUAGGGGAGACUGGAAUUCCUGGUGUAGCGGUGAAAUGCGCAGAUAUCAGGAGGAACACCGGUGGCGAAGGCAGCACUCUGGGACGUGACUGACGCUGAGACGCGAAAGCGUGGGGAGCAAACAGG